rnacentral:rRNA from 1 species
CUACGGGAGGCUCCAGUGGGGAAUAUUGCACAAUGGGGGGAACCCUGAUGCAGCAACGCCGCGUGGAGGAUGACACAUUUCGGUGCGUAAACUCCUUUUAUAUAAGAAGAUAAUGACGGUAUUAUAUGAAUAAGCACCGGCUAACUCCGUGCCAGCAGCCGCGGUAAUACGGGGGGUGCAAGCGUUACUCGGAAUCACUGGGCGUAAAGAGCAUGUAGGCGGGUAGAAAAGUUGGAAGUGAAAUCCUAUGGCUUAACCAUAGAACUGCUUCCAAAACUCUUUACCUAGAAUAUGGGAGAGGUAGAUGGAAUUUCUGGUGUAGGGGUAAAAUCCGUAGAGAUCAGAAGGAAUACCGAUUGCGAAGGCGAUCUACUGGAACAUUAUUGACGCUCAGAUGCGAAAGCGUGGGGAGCAAACAGGAUUAGAUACCCCGGUAGUC